AGUCGAACGGUAAGGGGGCAACCCCUUGAGAGUGGCGAACGGGUGAGUAAUGUAUCGGAACGUGCCCAGUCGUGGGGGAUAACGUAGUGAAAAUUACGCUAAUACCGCAUACGAUCUAUGGAUGAAAGCGGGGGAUUGCAAGACCUCGCGCGAUUGGAGCGGCCGAUAUCAGAUUAGGUAGUUGGUGGGGUAAAGGCUCACCAAGCCAACGAUCUGUAGCUGGUCUGAGAGGACGACCAGCCACACUGGAACUGAGACACGGUCCAGACUCCUACGGGAGGCAGCAGUGGGGAAUUUUGGACAAUGCACGCAAGUCUGAUCCAGCCAUUCCGCGUGCAGGACGAAGGCCUUCGGGUUGUAAACUGCUUUUGUACGGAACGAAAAAGCUCUUAUUAAUACUAGGAGUCCAUGACGGUACCGUAAGAAUAAGCACCGGCUAACUACGUGCCAGCAGCCGCGGUAAUACGUAGGGUGCAAGCGUUAAUCGGAAUUACUGGGCGUAAAGCGUGCGCAGGCGGUUAUAUAAGACAGAUGUGAAAUCCCCGAGCUUAACUUGGGAACUGCAUUUGUGACUGUAUAGCUAGAGUACGGCAGAGGGGGAUGGAAUUCCGCGUGUAGCAGUGAAAUGCGUAGAUAUGCGGAGGAACACCGAUGGCGAAGGCAAUCCCCUGGGCCUGUACUGACGCUCAUGCACGAAAGCGUGGGGAGCAAACAAGAUUAAAUACCCUGGUAGUCCACGCCCUAA
rnacentral:rRNA from 1 species